rnacentral:misc_RNA from 1 species
GUGGGAGCGGGCUUGCUCGCGAAUGCGGUGUGUCAGUCACUUGUGAUGUAACUGAUCCACCGCAUUCGCGAGCAAGCCCGCUCCCAC